AACGCAUAUGGCACCUCCCGGCCCUGCCGGAGGGUAUGCCUGUUUGAGAAUCAUACCACCGUGCCCAUCACCUGGUGGGCGACCUGGGCGUUCAGCAGUGAUCGCCUCCAAUUGAAUGGCGUUGCCAGGAUAUCGCUCGAUGUUUGGCAAUUGCAACCCCUCCUCGUGAUCUUAAAUCAGGCAAGGCUACCCGCUGAACUUAA
rnacentral:misc_RNA from 1 species